AGAAGCCAGGAGGAGUUAGGAACAGACUAUAAGAAAUGGUUGGUCUGGAGGAAAAAGGGUAAAACUUAUGAGCCAUUCACUGAUGUAUUGGUAAGAGGACAGGAGUCCUGGGGAAAGACUGCCUCAUUUACACUCCAAAGACUUGGGUUCUGAUCUCCAUGUCGUGGCUUAUCAUAGUGUAAGCCAGUUAUGUACCUCUAGAAAUGGAAGUUUCUGCUGUUUAUAAACUGGAAAUAAUGAUACAUGUCCUGACUCCUAUUGGGUUGUUGCAAAGGAAUCAAUUGAAAUAAGACAAGACUUUCUGAAGGCACUUUGCCAACUUUCAGAACUGUAAAGAUUAAGGGACUGCUACUAUGUGCUGCUCAGGAAAUAACAGGCACCUGGGAAAACCCACGAAGUAAGGUUUUGUAAGAAGUUGCUCUGCUCCCUGGGAGAAAACGCGGAGCUCAACACUGCCAAGAGGAACAAGUCUGGGAAAUUACGACAUGAGGGCCCUUGUGAAUUGAUGAAUAUGAAGACACUAAGAAAGCAGAAAUAGAACUGAGAAGAAUGAAAUAACUGUCUCUACCUUUCUCGAAUUGUCUAAUAUGGAAAGAAUGAAAGACAGCUAAUAAGCAACUCUCUGCAAGAAGACAUAUGGCUUAGAAUCUACUUGGAGAGAGUCAAACACAGAAUCCCUUUGAAUUUAAUGGCCAUUCCAGGUGAUUUGAACAGCCAAAUAAGAAACAGGUCCUCUUCAAUGUACAAUCUGCCAAGUAUGAAGUCUGAAUGACCAUCAUUAUUAUGUAUUUAAUGUGCAUAGAAAAUCUAUCUGCAACCUUCCAGAGUGUACCAGAAGUUUGGAAUGUACAUUAUUAUUGGCUCCAUCUCAAACCACUCAUAAAUCAAAGAAAAUAGCAGUUCCAGAGGAAUCAUCAUAGAGGCUUCUAGGCCCCCAUGCUGUGUGAACCUGGUGAGAAAGGGAAGUCUGCUCUCACUGGACACUGGAACUGUUUGUCUCUGUCUCUGCUGUACUUUCCCUGCCUCUACCUCACUUAGUAAAGAAAUCAUCUUUGCUUGAUAACUAAAACAACCAAUAAGGCUGAGAAAGGGGAAAACCCACAUCUGGAUUUAAAUACAAGGUAUUGGGCCAGCUGCUGGGGAUUAAACUUUGAACAAAACAGAUAGAAUCUAUGUCCUCAUGGGAGUGGCUAAUGGGAGAGUCGGAACAAAAAAAUAGCCAAGGAUAAUCCAGCAAAUGAUUUGGUGAAUGCUAUCAAAGAGAGAAAUACACAUGCUCUGGGAACACCAAACAGAGUCUCCCUCUCUGACCCAGGCUGGAGUGCCGUGGUAUGAUCUCGGCUCACUGCAACUUCUGCCUCCCAGCUUCAAGCAAUUCUCCUGUCUUAGCUUCCCAAGUAGCUGGGAUUACAGGCGUGCACCACCACACCAGGCUAAUUUUGUAUUUUUAGUAGAGACGGGGUUUUGCCAUGUUGGCCAGGCUGGUCUCGAACCCCUGACCUCAGGUGAUCUGCCCACCUCAACCUCCCAAAGUGCUGGGAUUACAGGUGUGAGCCACUGCAUCUGGCCUCAUAUAUUUUACUAUAACAAAUCAGUGUAGGCCAAAUAAAGUUAGAAAUGGAAGCUAAUGGAAAUAAAGAAUAGGCUUUCCUGUUAGUAUCUAUAGGUGUGUGUGUGUGUGUUCGUUAUUUAGGGAAAGAAACAGGGAACUUGGGGCAUAUAAUAUUUAUGUUCCCUUAGCUUAGGCAUAUAUGGUAUAUUUAGUUACUUAAUUAAUUUUUUAUUUAGAAGUUAUGUAUAGAGCAUUUUUCCUAGGCCAGUGGGGGAUUAAACCAGAAAUAUAAGAAGUGUCUGCCUUCUGGAAGCUUGUGAUCUAGUUAGGGGUAUCACAAGUGCACAGCGUUCACCAGUGGCAGAGAAGCAUGUGAUGAGUACCCAGAGCUUAUAUUGAGAAUAAGGUAUACAAGAAUUUAGAGGAGGCCAAUGUUGAUUUUCACCAAGAGUAUGGGACAGAGAGACAAGACAGGGUUGGUCAUCUAGUUCUGUGCACUGAAUAUAAUUUUGCAGGUUUAGGAGUGUUUGAAAACUACAAGGAAGAUAGAAUCUUGGUCUUGUUCUCCAGCAUGCCCUUUCUUGAACUCACCAGGGUAAUGCUGCAUCUUUUCAGAAAUGCCUCUGGCUUCUCAAAGCAACUUUCAUCCUGGAGAGGAACAAUUAGUCUUUGUCUUUCAUUAGUAAAAGAUUUAACGGCUCAGAAGGAGAAGCUAGUGGUGACUUUUCAAUCACCCCUUCUACCUCCCAG
rnacentral:lncRNA from 1 species